ACCUACGGGACGCAGCAGUGGGGAAUAUUGGGCAAUGGGCGCAAGCCUGACCCAGCAACGCCGCGUGAAGGAAGAAGGCUUUCGGGUUGUAAACUUCUUUUAAGAGGGAAGAGCAGAAGACGGUACCUCUUGAAUAAGCCACGGCUAACUACGUGCCAGCAGCCGCGGUAAUACGUGGGUGGCAAGCGUUGUCCGGAUUUACUGGGUGUAAAGGGCGUGCAGCCGGGAAGACAAGUCAGAUGUGAAAUCCCGCGGCUCAACCGCGGAACUGCAUUUGAAACUGGGUGUCUUGAGGGCAGGAGAGG
rnacentral:rRNA from 1 species